rfam:Salmo salar isolate Sally breed double haploid chromosome ssa21, whole genome shotgun sequence.
UGCAGGCACGACUGUACGUCGCUUUGGAUAAAAGCGCUUGCUAAAUUGCAUAUA